CGUUGCACCGAGCGAAAGUGGAACGACAACCGCCCCUUCGCCGAUGGCUGAGCCUGCGCCACAGCCCGAUCGCGGCUGAUCUUGCGGGCAGAUGAAGACUGCGCCCCGCGCCCGCCUUGGCAGGUUGGCAGCGGGGCGCAUCACAUGAGCGCGAACGCAUGAAGCUGCGACAGUUCAUCGACGCCGAUCUGAAGGCCGGCUUGACGAUGGGGCUGUGCGCGGGCAUGGUUCUGCUGGGGUUGAUCCUGCUGCUCCACGAGCGCCGGCCAGCGGUACCGCAGCAGGCCCAAAUGACUUCGGCGUCCGUCACUCCGCAUCGACAACUGGACUUUGGCAAUGAACCCGCGUCGAUGGAUGUGCGCCGCCUGGCCCAGUGGGUCGUCGAAAGCGGCGACAACGGCGGACGGGACUUUGUGCUGGUUGACAAGCGCGAUGCCAAGAUCUUCGUCUUUGAAGCGGAUGGUCGCCUCGCGGGCGCUACGCCGGUGCUGCUGGGCUUUGCGGUAGGCGACGACACCGUGCCCGGCAUUGCUUCCAAGUCGCUGUCGGAGAUUCGGCCUGAAGAACGCACCACCCCGGCCGGCCGCUUCGUCUCGCAGGCCGGCCGCAAUGCCGAGCAGGAAGACGUGGUCUGGGUUGACUACGGCGCCGCCGUGUCGAUGCACCGCGUGCGGCUGAUCCAUGCCAGCGAGCGUCGGAUACAACGGCUGGCAUCGCCGACGGCUGCCGACAAUCGGAUCAGCUCGGGCUGCAUCAAUCUGCCGGUGGCGUUCUUCGAGACCGUGCUGUGGCCACGCUUGGGUGGUGGACGCCACGGUGUGGUCUACGUGCUGCCGGAAACGCGACCGCUGGCCGUGGCGUUCCCCGCCUUGUCCGUGAUGCCAGGGAGCUGAU
rnacentral:misc_RNA from 1 species